AUUGAACGCUGGCGGCAGGCUUAACACAUGCAAGUCGAACGAGAGGCGGACGGGUGAGUAAUGAUUGGGAAUGGAGCUUAUGGAGGGGGAUAACUACGGGGAACUGUAGCCAAUACCGCGUACAAUAGGAUGAGCCCAAGUGGGAUUAGGGAGUUGGUGAGGUAAAGGCUCACCAAGCCGACGAUCUCUAGCUGGUCUGAGAGGAUGAUCAGCCACACUGGGACUGAGACACGGCCCAGACUCCUACGUGAGGCAGCAGUGGGGAAUAUUGCGCAAUGGGGGAAACCUGACGCAGCCAUGCCGCGUGUGUGAAGAAGGCCUUAGGGUUGUAAAGUACUUUCAGCGGGGAGGCGUUACCCGCAGAAGAAGCACCGGCUAACUCCGUGCCAGCCGCCGCGGUAAUUC
rnacentral:rRNA from 1 species